GCCACUGUAGCGUAGUGGUUUGAGUGUUGGAUUGUGACUCUGAAAACUAGGGUUCAACUCCCAGCUUGGACA